rnacentral:rRNA from 1 species
GACAGAGGGUGCGAACGUUGUUCGGAAUUACUGGGCGUAAAGCGCAUGUAGGCGGCAGCGCAAGUCGGGCGUGAAAUCCCACGGCUCAACCGUGGAAGUGCACUCGAAACUGCGCAGCUAGAGUCCUGGAGAGGAAGGUGGAAUGCUUGGUGUAGAGGUGAAAUGCGUAGAUAUCAAGUGGAACACCAGUGGCGAAGGCGAGUCCCUGGACAACUCCUGACACUGAGGCACGAAAGCUAGGGGAGCAAACAGG